AUGUUUACUCACCAAGAAGUGUUUAAUGAUCCCAUCCAUGGCCACAUCAAGUUACACCCAUUUCUUGUCAAGAUCAUAGACACACCUCAGUUUCAGAGACUACGAAAAAUCAAGCAACUUGGAGGGGGUUAUUAUGUUUUUCCAGGAGCAUCACACAACCGCUUUGAACACUCAAGUGGGGCAUUUGGCAGGAGAGCUUGUAAAAGCUUUGAGGGCAAAACAGUUGGAGGAGCCGUCAAUGAACUCGGAAUCAAUGACCGAGAUGUCCUUUGUGUACAGAUUGCAGGCCUUUGCCAUGACCUAGGUCACGGGCCCUUUUCUCAUGUCUUUGAUGGAAUGUUCAACCCUCAAGCAGACCCAAAUGGUGAAAAAUGAGAGCAUGAGGACGCCUCUAUAUUAAUGUUUGAUCACCUAGUGGAUGACAAUAACCUGAAGCCAGUGAUGAAUCAUUACGGACUGAUAACAGAAGGUGACAAUGAAAAUGACCUGGAGUUUAUCAAGGAGAUAAUUAAAGGAUCUCUGAAGAACAAUUUACCUCAGAAUGAGUCAGGAUUAUUCCUGGAAAAAACUGUGCCUAAUGUUAUUAUUUUGGCUUCACCUCCACAGCAGCUGUAUAGAGGUCGAAACAAUGAAAAAUCCUUUCUCUAUGAAAUUGUGGCAAACAAACAAAAUGGAAUUGAUGUGGACAAGUUUGACUACUUUGCAAGAGAUUGCCACCACCUGGGCAUCCAGAACAACUUUGACCAUCGACGCGUUAUCGUAUUUGCCAGAGUGUGUAAUGUGGACGGGCAGUUACACAUUUGUUCUAUAGACAAGGAAAUGGCAAAUCUGUAUGACAUGUUCCACACAAGAAACUCUCUCCACAGAAGAGCCUACCAGCACAGGGUAAAAAUGGCAGUAGAGAUUAUGAUUAAAGACGCUCUCUUAAAAGCAAAUCAGGAUCCACACUUCCAAAUUAAAUGGGCAGAAGAGAACAUGUGCUCUCUCUCCGAAGCUAAAAGGCACAUGGAGGCAUACACCAAGCUGACAGAUGAAGUGAUUGAACAAAUACUCCACCAUGAUGCUUGUUCUUGUUAUGAAUCCACCUCUUCCUCUCUGGAGGAGGCAGCACAGAUUAUACAGAGGAUAAUGUGUCGAGAUUUGUACCAGCUUGUGGGUGAAAUAAAGCUCAAGAAAAAAGACCAAGAGAAAGCAGAGGACGUGACUAAACGUUUAGAAACAGAACUGGCUAAAACCAUUCCUAAGGAUGGAAAACAGGAUGAAAACGACAACUUUGAAGUUAAAGUUGCCAAAUUUGACUAUGGAAAGAAAAAUGGAGACCCGAUCAGUAACUAUACAUAUUUCUACAGCAAGUUUAACCCUACCACUGGAUUCAAGAUCAAGCCAGAAGAGGUAUCCAAUCUACUCCCAGAAUGCUUUUCUGAGAAGCAUAUUAGAGUUUACUGGAAGAGACGUAAUGAUAAGCGUCUGGAAGAUGCAAAGAAGUGCUUCGAGGCUGUGAAAAAGGAGGUGGAGGAGAAUUAGAGUGACGUCAAAAAAGCAACACCAGGAGAUGCCCAGUGAAUAUGAAGAUGUUAAACAUUCAGACACUAAGUUUUAGUGAUACUGCAGAGAUUCUGAAACAGGAAUUUAAAUCAUAAAACUUAAGUACUUUGUCUACUUUACAAUAUCUUGUUUUUGCUUUUUGUUUUUUUAUUUUACCUAAGUGGUUUAGUUUGGAAAUUAAAUAUAACCAAUAUAUUUACAUACUGAAUGAUUUCUAAAUCUUCCUCAUCUCUAGUUGACAUGGUUUUGUGGUUAGCAAGGCUUUUUUACUUUCUGCAAUAUGUAUCAAUGUGAAGUAAGAACCUAAAAUCUAAAACAAGUCAUGUAUUGAAUAAACUAUAUAUAACACAAUUUUCACUGUUAUAUUAUACCAUAUAGCUCAGCUCAAUAUAUGGUUAAGACAAGCACUGGGUAGUCUUGUGAGUUUUGACUGUGUGAAAAUUUGUUCUUUAUUAUGUAAUGGGUCUCUAAAUGAAAACCUACCAAAAGUUAAUUAAAACUUUUAGCUGUUUUA